rnacentral:rRNA from 1 species
UUUUAUGGAGAGUUUGAUCCUGGCUCAGGAUGAACGCUGGCGGCGUGCCUAAUACAUGCAAGUCGAGCGAACGGACGAGAAGCUUGCUUCUCUGAUGUUAGCGGCGGACGGGUGAGUAACACGUGGAUAACCUACCUAUAAGACUGGGAUAACUUCGGGAAACCGGAGCUAAUACCGGAUAAUAUUUUGAACCGCAUGGUUCAAAAGUGAAAGACGGUCUUGCUGUCACUUAUAGAUGGAUCCGCGCUGCAUUAGCUAGUUGGUAAGGUAACGGCUUACCAAGGCAACGAUGCAUAGCCGACCUGAGAGGGUGAUCGGCCACACUGGAACUGAGACACGGUCCAGACUCCUACGGGAGGCAGCAGUAGGGAAUCUUCCGCAAUGGGCGAAAGCCUGACGGAGCAACGCCGCGUGAGUGAUGAAGGUCUUCGGAUCGUAAAACUCUGUUAUUAGGGAAGAACAUAUGUGUAAGUAACUGUGCACAUCUUGACGGUACCUAAUCAGAAAGCCACGGCUAACUACGUGCCAGCAGCCGCGGUAAUACGUAGGUGGCAAGCGUUAUCCGGAAUUAUUGGGCGUAAAGCGCGCGUAGGCGGUUUUUUAAGUCUGAUGUGAAAGCCCACGGCUCAACCGUGGAGGGUCAUUGGAAACUGGAAAACUUGAGUGCAGAAGAGGAAAGUGGAAUUCCAUGUGUAGCGGUGAAAUGCGCAGAGAUAUGGAGGAACACCAGUGGCGAAGGCGACUUUCUGGUCUGUAACUGACGCUGAUGUGCGAAAGCGUGGGGAUCAAACAGGAUUAGAUACCCUGGUAGUCCACGCCGUAAACGAUGAGUGCUAAGUGUUAGGGGGUUUCCGCCCCUUAGUGCUGCAGCUAACGCAUUAAGCACUCCGCCUGGGGAGUACGACCGCAAGGUUGAAACUCAAAGGAAUUGACGGGGACCCGCACAAGCGGUGGAGCAUGUGGUUUAAUUCGAAGCAACGCGAAGAACCUUACCAAAUCUUGACAUCCUUUGACAACUCUAGAGAUAGAGCCUUCCCCUUCGGGGGACAAAGUGACAGGUGGUGCAUGGUUGUCGUCAGCUCGUGUCGUGAGAUGUUGGGUUAAGUCCCGCAACGAGCGCAACCCUUAAGCUUAGUUGCCAUCAUUAAGUUGGGCACUCUAAGUUGACUGCCGGUGACAAACCGGAGGAAGGUGGGGAUGACGUCAAAUCAUCAUGCCCCUUAUGAUUUGGGCUACACACGUGCUACAAUGGACAAUACAAAGGGCAGCGAAACCGCGAGGUCAAGCAAAUCCCAUAAAGUUGUUCUCAGUUCGGAUUGUAGUCUGCAACUCGACUACAUGAAGCUGGAAUCGCUAGUAAUCGUAGAUCAGCAUGCUACGGUGAAUACGUUCCCGGGUCUUGUACACACCGCCCGUCACACCACGAGAGUUUGUAACACCCGAAGCCGGUGGAGUAACCUUUUAGGAGCUAGCCGUCGAAGGUGGGACAAAUGAUUGGGGUGAAGUCGUAACAAGGUAGCCGUAUCGGAAG